GGACCUUUGUUUACAGGUCCCAAAAAAGCCCUGAAAAGCAAGUGUGAAAAAAAAAACAGAUAUUCUAUUAUAGUGCAAAGUGUCAUUGUCUUCCCUCUUGCAAAAGCAGUUGGAGUUUGUUAUUGAUUCAUGAGAAAUGGUGAAUAAGCCUCAAAUGCAAUUUUAAAGAAUGUCCAUUCUGGCUUUUGUAGUUUCCAGCAAGGAAAAUGGGGCAGUUAAGGAAAUGAAAGCCUUUAGAAGCUGUUUUAAAGGAUCAGCAUAAAAAGCUAGAGAAGUUUGUACAGUUAAGGAAGGAAUUCUUCAUCUAUGGUCUGUGAAUAAGCUUCAGAGUGUCUAUGAGUGACCCAUAACAGGAUACAAAUCUAUGGGUACAUGUGUACAUCUUUCUUGGGGAAGGGUCCAUAUUUUUUUCCAAAAAAAGUGCACAAGCUAUAGACUCUAAGCAGUGACCUUUCCUUGCUUAUGCUCAUGAGAUUUUUUUUAAAGAUUUCAUUUAUUUAUUUGAGAGAUAGAGAACAUGUGUGAGAGACAGAGCAUGAGCAGAGGGAGAAGCAGACUCCCCACUGAGCAGGGAGCCUGAUAUAGGACUCGAUCCCAGGACCCUGAGAUCAUGACCUGAGCUGAAGGCAGACACUUAAUUGAGCUACCUAGGCACACCGCUCAUGAGAUUUAAAGACAGCCCCAAGUCUAAGCUCCGGAGGCACUGAGAGAUUAGGAUGUAGAGGUGCCCCCGGGAUGUGGGUGCAUGUAGGGGAUAGUAGGUCUAUAUGAUUAUUACUUGAGUCAGUCCUUGAUCUAGCUUUUUGAAUACAUAUUUGAGUCCUGUGUGGGGAAAGACUUUAAGUGAAAACAAAGAAAGUAUGUGGUAUAGUCCUUAAUUUUUUAUGAACCUUGGGAGAGGAAUGGGAAAGGCACAGUAGGUAUUUACCAGGAUAGUGGUUUCUUUUCCUACUGAAAACUCCCUUUUUCCCUCUUGGACAAUAUACAAAACAAGCUAGACUGGCACAUCUCCUUGUUAAAUAGAGCAGUUAAACCAAUAGUAAUGGAACCCCCAUGCUUUCAGACAGACCAGUGGAAACAUUAGCCAGUUCAAGGGAAAAACAAAACUUGCAUGCCAGAUGGUCCCUGGCUACUGGACUGUAGAGGAUGGUGGUACAGGAUUCUCUCUGAUCUGUGUACUAUCACUAUGGCCAGGAGCAUAGAGGGCUGAUUGGCUUGGGCUGGGGUUUUGUGCAGUUCUCUAUACCUGUCAUUGUAGCCAGAGGAAUUGGGAUCCCUUGACAGGUGUAAGCAAUUGGGACCCUCUUUUGUAUAUUCAGGUGGCAUUAGUCUUGCACAAACCGUGGGAUUGAGAAUGGGGAAGAGGUCUCUCAAAGGGAAUUUGGCCUGCACUGACCAGAAUGACCACAGAUGCUAGGCUGCAAACAAUGAGGGUUUUACAGCUGCUCUAGGUCCUCUCCAGAAAAGGGUACAAAGGAAUCUACGUGGUGCAGGUUCACAGUGUUAGCACCAGGAGCCUUUCUGGUAGGGCAGAAAUGGUGUAGCGGUGUCUUCUGGCCAGGAAUGUUAUUGCCGUGGGAUUAAUAGCAGUGUCUAUGAUGACAGGCAGAGUGACAGGGACUGUCUUGGCUUCAACUAGCAACCAGAGCAACUUCAGAGCUGUGCAGAGCACUGAUGGCGUCAGGGGCAGUGUUGGCAGCAGGGCACCUCCAAGGACAUUGCAGAUUUGUGAGGAGGCCCUAGGAUCCUUGAAGAGCUCUGUGGUCCCUCUUCUCUGAAAUACAUUGAGAGCCCAAGAACUGCUGUCAACAGACUAGGAUCCCCUAAGCAGUGGGGAUGAUUGGAUUCUGGGGUGGCAGGGGUGAGGUGGCUGUACUCACUACCAAAGCUAGGUGGGGUUGGUUACCAUUGAAGGACAGUCUGACCCCAAGGGACCCGUGGCUCUGGCUGGCUGAGGAUGGUGUCCCUAAAAGACAAUGAGAUGAGAACCUGCUAAAUUUUUACUUGAAUGUUGUAAGUAGGAAAGGUAUUGUUUGAGUCUAACUUGAAUCACUGAAAUGAGUCUUGGCCCCUCAAUCAACUCCCAGACGUGAGCCAGUUCCCAGCCCCAGGACUGCUUGAGGAAGGACGCUGGUCCACUGCCAAAAGUUCGUACUGUGAAUGUUCUUCUCAGCCUUCCUCAAAGGGACAUUAGCCCCUUACCCGGUGGCAAAGUCAACAGACCCUGUUGGGAUUAGGAGACACUGGCUCUGAACUGACCCCAGUUCUGGGAUCCAGGAUGGCGCUGUGGCCCAAUGGUGAGGGUAGGGGCUCCUGAGGUCUGGUGAUCACUGGAGUCUAAGCUCAGGUUGGCUUCCCAUGGGGCCCAGUGGCCCCCCGCCCCCCAAGCCUAUCUGGUGGUGAUGUCCCUGGUUCUGGAAUGAAUAAUUGGAAUAUCCCAACCCAGCAGCUUCUGAGUUCCUGCGUGGGUCCUGGGACCUGUGGAGUGAGGGCUGUUACUUUGGGAAAGGCCACUUGGAAGCCACUAGAACCACCUCCAUAAGGAAAACAGACCAGAAGCAGUUCCAAGCUUCCGAGGGCUGCAGAGAUGAGCACCACCAUCAAGGACUCGAAGGAGGCCAGGGUGGCCAUGGCUGCCCUAUCCCCAUUCAGCUGGCCUUUCUGUGGUGCAGAAAACAGACGGAUCUCCAGGAGCAAUGGGGGAUGAUCGGAAGCCCACCCAGUUGGUGGUGGAUGGCAACUGCUUUUUCAGAUACGGCUUAAUUGCUUGGGCCAGUUAUCAUGUCCCCUGGUACCUGGUGUGCAGCUGGAUGGGUUACCAGAAUACAUUCCAACUCAUUUUACUUUUUAUUCGAUGGAUACUGUAUUACUUGAGUAGUUAAAAAUAUUUAGUAAAAAAAUAUAUAUAUAUAUUUAGUGACUUCGUGCUUUUAAUAAUGAGGAGCACGCUGUGCUUUGGAUUCCUGAGCUGCACUUAAAUACAGAGCUUGGUUCUUUGACAUCAAGCUUGUGACUGACUUAGCAGC
rnacentral:lncRNA from 1 species